CCCAUAGCUCAGUGGCAGACCACCUGCUUUGCUUGCAGAAGGUCCCAGGUUCAUUCCCCUGAUGGAAAGA